rnacentral:rRNA from 1 species
CGAGCGGACAGAUGGGAGCUUGCUCCCUGAUGUUAGCGGCGGACGGGUGAGUAACACGUGGGUAACCUGCCUGUAAGACUGGGAUAACUCCGGGAAACCGGGGCUAAUACCGGAUGGUUGUUUGAACGCAUGGUUCAAACAUAAAAGGUGGCUUCGGCUACCACUUACAGAUGGACCCGCGGCGCAUUAGCUAGUUGGUGAGGUAAYGGCUCACCAAGGCRACGAUGCGUAGCCGACCUGAGAGGGUGAUCGGCACACUGGGACUGAGACACGGCCCAGACUCCUACGGGAGGCAGCAGUAGGGAAUCUUCCGCAAUGGACGAAAGUCUGACGGAGCAACGCCGCGUGAGUGAUGAAGGUUUUCGGAUCGUAAAGCUCUGUGUUAGGGAAGAACAAGUACCGUUCGAAUAGGGCGGUACCUUGACGGUACCUAACCAGAAAGCCACGGCUAACUACGUGCCAGCAGCCGCGGUAAUACGUAGGUGGCAAGCGUUGUCCGGAAUUAUUGGCGUAAAGGGCUCGCAGGCGGUUUCUUAAGUCUGAUGUGAAAGCCCCCGGCUCAACCGGGGAGGGUCAUUGGAAACUGGGGAACUUGAGUGCAGAAGAGGAGAGUGGAAUUCCACGUGUAGCGGUGAAUGCGUAGAGAUGUGGAGGAACACCAGUGGCGAAGGCGACUCUCUGGUCUGUAACUGACGCUGAGGAGCGAAAGCGUGGGGAGCGAACAGGAUUAGAUACCCUGGUAGUCCACGCCGUAAACGAUGAUGCUAAGUGUUAGGGGGUUUCCGCCCCUUAGUGCUGCAGCUAACGCAUUAAGCACUCCGCCUGGGGAGUACGGUCGCAAGACUGAAACUCAAAGGAAUUGACGGGGGCCCGCACAAGCGGUGGAGCAGUGGUUUAAUUCGAAGCAACGCGAAGAACCUUACCAGGUCUUGACAUCCUCUGACAAUCCUAGAGAUAGGACGUCCCCUUCGGGGGCAGAGUGACAGGUGGUGCAUGGUUGUCGUCAGCUCGUGUCGGAGAUGUUGGGUUAAGUCCCGCAACGAGCGCAACCCUUGAUCUUAGUUGCCAGCAUUCAGUUGGGCACUCUAAGGUGACUGCCGGUGACAAACCGGAGGAAGGUGGGGAUGACGUCAAAUCAUCAUGCCCUUAUGACCUGGGCUACACACGUGCUACAAUGGACAGAACAAAGGGCAGCGAAACCGCGAGGUUAAGCCAAUCCCACAAAUCUGUUCUCAGUUCGGAUCGCAGUCUGCAACUCGACUGCGUGAAGUGGAAUCGCUAGUAAUCGCGGAUCAGCAUGCCGCGGUGAAUACGUUCCCGGGCCUUGUACACACCGCCCGUCACACCACGAGAGUUUGUAACACCCGAAGUCGGUGAGGUAACCUUUUAGGAGCCAGCGCCGAAGGUGGGACAGAUGAUUGGGGUGAAGUCGUAACAAGGUAAC